UCAAAUGCAUUACAUAUGGGCCGGAUGCAGCUGGUAUACGGGAGCGCCCGGUUUUCGCUCCCCCCAGCCGUAUACGGUUCCGUAUUGCUUAAAGCGUAGUGUGAGUCAGAGUAUUUUUAAUGUAUUAACUUAGUGAUUGGAAGGGAAUUAUAUGAUGAGUAUAUAUUUGACCUACAUCAUGUGAAGCCAGGGCCCUCUGCCAGACAUCUAGGGAAUGUUUAGUGGAAGGAUUGACCUCAUUAGGAGUUUAAGUCUUCCUGGAUUUAACCAAAUGUGUUCCCAAUUAGAAAUUCAAGAUUCAACGGAGGCCCAGGCCGUUUUUUCUACACCUUCUUUGAUCCAGCCCAAAGACUGAUUAAACACUAUGGCCUGCCUAUAUGCCUUCAAGUUAGGAAUACCAGAGCCUCCAUUGCCAGCCACUCUCGGUUGUUUACCACUCCAAAUGAAUUUGAAAGCGAUCGAUUGUAACUGUAAAUUUAGUAGGUACUGCCACCAGAAUAGUCCUUAACAGAUAAAGAAUCCUUGGCAACUUAAAGGGGACUCUUUUACCAAGCCAGCUCCAACUACCUUUAGAGAGAGAGAGUUAUGAUUGGCUUGUAAUUUAUUAGCAAAAACUGGGAAAUUAGCUUCUGCUAGUUUGAAAUGUGAAUUGGUUAUGAUAAUACCUAAAUAUGUUGUUAUGUGAGACUCCGACCAUUUAUUCGGAAAGUUUGAUCCGAUCUGGGAUUCAACGUGAUGUGGGAGGUUAAUAUGCUAAGAAUGUUAUAUUUGGCCUCAUUAAUUUUAUAAUAAGUUAAAUUACCAAAGUUGGUAAUAUGUGAUAUAACCACUGCAAGGGAAUGUGAGGGGUUAACCAAUAAAAGGAGUACAUUGUCUGCAUAUAGACUCAUUUUGUGUUGGGAAUUACAGACAGGGAUGCCCUCUAUAUCAGGGUCCUCUCUAAUUUUGGAAGUCAAAGUGGCGUAGUUAUGAAGAUGAGUGGCGUAGUGCCGUUCGUGAUCUUAAAUGGUGUAGACAUGACACCAUUCACAAAUACCGAAGCGGACGGGUCACCAUACAAAGCCCAUACAGAAUGGAUAAACAAGUCUGGGAGAUUAAAUCUGCGGAGAGUCUCUCUUGCGAAUCCCCAAUGAAUGUGGUUGAACUCCUUCUCCGCGUUCAGGGAAAGGAGCAGAGACAGUGAGACUACAGAUAUUCAACCCGCUCAAAACAAAAAUGCUUAAAUACUAUCACAGGUGCCAGGAUGGAACAUGUUCAUGGAAACAUGAUCUCCGCUUUAUGACUGCUCUGAAGAACCUGGAUACAACUGAUAUUCCCAAGAAGAGCCCAUCUGAAUGUGCAUUGAAAGCUGCAGCUGUAAAGUAGAGUAGACACUUCCUAUACUGGAGCAGCCCUGGCCGACUACCACGAAGUAUAGAUUUUUCUUAACUCAAGCAUAGACCUUGGUUGUUUUUAGUCUUCCUGAUACUAAGAUGGUAUUCACCAUCACCACUUCUUCUGAGAACCCUCUCCCUAGAAGAGAUGGGCGUUUAACCUCCAUGCUGUGGGUUGAAGUCUGGACAGCUUCUGAUGAUACAUCCCUGCUUGACUGAAAAGAUUCUUCCUCCAAAAGUCCAGGUCCUGGAUGACUUCACUUAGGCAGAUUUGCAGUGCUCGGGGAACAGACACUGAAGUGGUACCUACUAUUGCAGCAGAAGAUGAUGCUAUAAAUACUUUAUCAUGGUAUCAGUCUUAUGUUCUAUUGCAGGGGUCUCAAACUGGUGGCCCUCCAGAUGUUGCAAAA